AAUCUUAUAGUUUAAAAAACGUUAAAUUGCAAGUUUAAAAAUGGUUUAGGCCUAAGAUUU
rnacentral:tRNA from 2 species